CAAAAUCUACGUGUCAAUAUGGGCUCACUUGAAAAUGUUUUCCUUCCUCUCCCUUUCGUCCUCUUAUCUCUUUCCCCUCUUCCCUUCUCUUCUGAGAUAAAUCCCAGCAAUCAUUAACCUUUCCCCACCGACCUAAUCCCGUGAGCCACCGGAAAUGGGUUCCCGAUCGAAGACCGGGAGAGAAAACUUGUGGGAAAGGAAAGCUUGCUUGUCUUGUUUUCUUUCUUCAAAUCGCCAAAACGCAGGAGGGAGAGAAAGCAAAAGAGGAGAGCAGACACACACAGCUCAAUCAUCGAAAGCUCAUAUCAUGGAUGGACAAAAACAACAAACCUGGAGAUUAUUUGCAGCGUCUGCGAGUACAGAUGAGAAGAAAGGGCGUGACCAAUGGAGAAUUCUUGGCAGCAGGAUUCAGGGAGCAAACUUGUUAUUAGAGAGUUCAAGGAUAUCUUGGACAAAAGAUUUUUCAAUGUGCUAGGAACAUGCGAUAAAACACCACAUGUCUCUAUACAAGUGGUGAGAUUCUUCUAUUUAAAAAAUAAAAUUUCCCAUCAUUUAAAUAAUAACGCGUGGUGUACCACUUGUGUGACGGUUACAAAGAAAUUUCUAUCUUGGACGAGCAUGAGAAAGAGGGAGGGAACCUCACGGCAAGCAUGACAGACUUUAGGGAUUUUGUAACCUUGAUGGUCUAAUUGAUCUAGGCUUCACGGGUUAUCCCUUUACGUAGAAAAUCAGGAGAGGAGGGAUUUAUACAACAAAGAUUGGACCGGGGAUUAGCAUCGCUUUACUGGUUCAAUUUGGUAUGAUUUGUAUUUUUUAUGUUUUAGUUCACUAGGUUUGCUAGAUUCAGUAUGAUCAAUUUGGUACGGUUUGUAUUUUUUAUAUUUUAGUUCAUUAGGUCCGAUAGAUUCGGUAUGGUCAA